rnacentral:rRNA from 1 species
AGAAUUUGAUCUUGGUUCAGAACGAACGCUGGCGGCGCGUUUAAGCAUGCAAGUCGAGCGGCAAGGGCCUUCGGGCCCCUAGAGCGGCGGACGGGUGAGUAACACGUGGACAAUCUGCCCCCCGGCCCGGGAUAGCCCAGGGAAACCUGGAUUAAUACCGGAUGAGACGGGACCUGCGAUGGCGGGAUCCGGGAAAGGCGCUACGGCGCCGCCGGGGGAUGAGUCUGCGUCCCAUUAGCUAGACGGCGGGGUAACGGCCCACCGUGGCGACGAUGGGUAGCCGGCCUGAGAGGGUGGACGGCCACAUUGGAACUGAGACACGGUCCAGACUCCUACGGGAGGCAGCAGCUAAGAAUCUUCCGCAAUGGGCGAAAGCCUGACGGAGCCGACGCCGCGUGAACGAAGAAGGCCGUGAGGUUGUAAAGUUCUUUUCGGGAGGGGGAACAACCGUGGCAGGGAAUGGCCGCGGGAUGACGUGAAUCCCGGAAUAAGCCCCGGCUAACUACGUGCCAGCCGCUGC